rnacentral:tRNA from 1 species
GAAAAUUUAGUUAAAAAAUAACCUCAGCUUGUCAUGCUGAAAUUGCUAAUAUUAGCAAUUUUCU